rnacentral:rRNA from 1 species
GACGAACGCUGGCGGCGUGCCUAAUACAUGCAAGUCGAGCGGAUGAUAAAGGAGCUUGCUCCUUUAGAUUCAGCGGCGGACGGGUGAGUAACACGUGGGCAACCUGCCUGUAAGACUGGGAUAACUUCGGGAAACCGGAGCUAAUACCGGAUAACUCUUCGAACCACAUGGUUCGAAGAUAAAAGAUGGUUUCGGCUAUCACUUACAGAUGGGCCCGCGGCGCAUUAGCUAGUUGGUGAGGUAACGGCUCACCAAGGCGACGAUGCGUAGCCGACCUGAGAGGGUGAUCGGCCACACUGGGACUGAGACACGGCCCAGACUCCUACGGGAGGCAGCAGUAGGGAAUCUUCCGCAAUGGACGAAAGUCUGACGGAGCAACGCCGCGUGAGCGAUGAAGGCCUUCGGGUCGUAAAGCUCUGUUGUUAGGGAAGAACAAGUACCAGUUAACUGCUGGUACCUUGACGGUACCUAACGAGAAAGCCACGGCUAACUACGUGCCAGCAGCCGCGGUAAUACGUAGGUGGCAAGCGUUGUCCGGAUUUAUUGGGCGUAAAGCGCGCGCAGGCGGUUCUUUAAGUCUGAUGUGAAAGCCCCCGGCUCAACCGGGGAGGGUCAUUGGAAACUGGGGAACUUGAGUGCAGAAGAGAAGAGCGGAAUUCCACGUGUAGCGGUGAAAUGCGUAGAGAUGUGGAGGAACACCAGUGGCGAAGGCGGCUCUUUGGUCUGUAACUGACGCUGAGGCGCGAAAGCGUGGGGAGCAAACAGGAUUAGAUACCCUGGUAGUCCACGCCGUAAACGGUGAGUGCUAAGUGUUGGAGGGUUUCCGCCCUUCAGUGCUGCAGCUAACGCAUUAAGCACUCCGC